rnacentral:rRNA from 1 species
AUUGAACGCUGGCGGCAUGCCUUACACAUGCAAGUCGAACGGUAACGGGCCUUCGGGUGCCGACGAGUGGCGAACGGGUGAGUAAUACAUCGGAACGUGCCCGAUCGUGGGGGAUAACGAGGCGAAAGCUUUGCUAAUACCGCAUACGAUCUACGGAUGAAAGCAGGGGACCGCAAGGCCUUGCGCGGACGGAGCGGCCGAUGGCAGAUUAGGUAGUUGGUGGGAUAAAAGCUUACCAAGCCGACGAUCUGUAGCUGGUCUGAGAGGAUGAUCAGCCACACUGGGACUGAGACACGGCCCAGACUCCUACGGGAGGCAGCAGUGGGGAAUUUUGGACAAUGGGCGCAAGCCUGAUCCAGCCAUGCCGCGUGCAGGAUGAAGGCCUUCGGGUUGUAAGCUGCUUUUGUACGGAACGAAAAGCCUUCUUUUAAUACAGGAGGGUCAUGACGGUACCGGAAGAAUAAGCACCGGCUAACUACGUG